AUAAGUUAUAUGGCUGCUGCUCAGACCCUUCUAAGUCUAGGCUGAGGCUUGUCUUGACAUGUGGGAUGCUUCUGACUUGUAUAAUGACGCGUGGAAGCCUCUAGAUUAGCCAUUUUACUUCUAAAUCUAAUUUUUUUUUUCUUUUUUUCACAGAUCACUUUCAAACNNNNNGAAAUAAUCUCCUUCAUUCAGAUAUUGGAGUUGUGAUUUAAACCCUCUGGAAGAAGAAUGCUAUUCCUAUAUUUCAGUAGGAAAAAGUUACAGAAAGAGGACAGCUCAUGGUGGUCAAUAGGUUGUUUCCUGGGCAUUUCAUUACACACCAAGAGACAUGACAGAAGUGUCCCUGUAAAUGCAAGACAUAAUGGAACAAUUACCAUGGGAGAAAGGGCAGAUGACAUUGAACAACAACCACAAUUGGAUUUCUCUCUCAGGUAAAGAUGGAAAUUGUGCAGAUAUUAGAGAUAAUGGAGAGAUUCAUCAACUUGUGGGUAAAAGAAACUUAGAAUAGUUGAGAAAAUACUUGUGGCUUUUGAUUCUGUUUUUGUUGUUUGUUUUUCGUGUUUUCUUUUUUUUGGGGGGGGGGGGGGGAGGGAGUAAUCUCUGUUCACAUUCAUCUUCAAUAUUAAUUCAAUAAAAAUUAUCUAAUGUUUAUGUCA
rnacentral:lncRNA from 1 species